CACGAACUGUGCGAACGUUAUUCGGAAUUACUGGGCUUAAAGAGUUCGUAGGCGGCUUGUUAAGUCGGGUGUGAAAUCCCUCGUCUCAACCGAGGAAUUGCGCUCGAAACUGGCAGGCUUGAGUGAGAUAGAGGUGAGCGGAACUGAUGGUGGAGCGGUGAAAUGCGUUGUUAUUAUCAGGAACACCGGUUGCGAAGGCGGCUCACUGGGUCUUUACUGACGCUGAGGAACGAAAGCUAGGGGAGCGAACGGG
rnacentral:rRNA from 1 species